rnacentral:lncRNA from 1 species
CGAUUCCCAAAUAGGUCAACCUUUUAAACUGCCUGCUGAAUCCAUGAGCAGGCAAGAGACAACCUGGCGAACUGAAACAUCUUAGUAGCCAGAGGAAAAGAAAGCAAAAGCGAUUCCCGUAGUAGCGGCGAGCGAAAUGGGAGCAGCCUAAACCGUGAAAACGGGGUUGUGGGAGAGCAAUACAAGCGUUGUGCUGCUAGGCGAAGCUAUACGUACUAGUUUUCUUGGUUUUGGGAAGGUUAUGUAAGGUUUUGCACUAUUUUGUUUUGUGUGUUUCUUUGUCGGUUUCUCAAGUCUUUUUGGGUUACUAUUUUCCUUUUAAUUGUUUUUAUUCUAUAUUAAAUUUUUAAUUCAUAAGAUUAAUAAAAACAACACCUUUUGAAAUCUACGAGUAGUUUUUAUAUAACCAACCUUUACAAAUUUCAGGAAUAUUUUUUUGAUUCAUUAACAAUUUUUUGAAGUCAUGGUUGUUUUUUUAUUUCUAAAUAUUUUUCAAGUUCAUGAAUAUUUUUCAAAUUUGUGAUAUUUUUAAAAUUCUCAAAUACUUCAUAUUUUUUUAUUCAAGUGUAUGUUGUAUAACUCAUGAAUAUUUUUCUAAAUCUGUUAUCUUUUCCUAAAUUCGUAAACAUUUUUCUAAAUUCACAAAAAACAAAUUCAUGAAAAUAAAUAUGAAGAUAAACAAUACCAAGUCACUAUCCUUAUAUCCAUCAUUAGAUAUAUUUUCAUAAUCUAGUCAUUCAAUAUUAUAGUUGUUGAUAUUUUCUUCUAUAUAUUUGGUCAAAUUUAGAGAGAGUUGGCUUUUUGACUGAAAUUUGUACAACAUCUAUUUGGGGACAGAGGGAGUAGUGAAUAGUGUUUGUACUGUAAAGGAUUUGCAGUCCGUGAGUCAAGUUACUCUGUGUUUUUUAACAUAGUACAGACGCAAGCGCUCAUACAUACGCGCAUACACUCAACCCUAUGAACGCACACAUGCACACCCUACCCAUAUGAGCACCUUCGAGAGACUGAGCGGCAUAUCAUCUUGAUAUUUACGAAGUCACUGUAGACUCGUCGUCGUCGACGGGAACGUCUCUUCUCACUGAAAGCGCAUCGCCGGAAAUCCUGAAAUAAAUUCAGGAAUAAAGCGAGCACCAGGACUUGAACCCUGGUGGGCUGGGGAUACCACUGCCCGUCUAACCAUCGAACCAUAUGGGGUGUGGAUGCACCUAUGAGUCAUGGACAGCGGGAAUCUAAUUUCGCUAGAAAACCCUCACUCUGCAGUAAUGGGCCAACCGAUUCCCAAAUAGGUCAACCUUUUAAACUGCCUGCUGAAUCCAUGAGCAGGCAAGAGACAACCUGAUGAACUGAAACAUCUUAGUAGGCAGAGGAAAAGAAAGCAAAAGCGAUUCCCGUAGUAGCGGCGAGCGAAAUGGGAGCAGCCUAAACCGUGAAAACGGGGUUGUGGGAGAGCAAUACAAGCGUUGUGCUGCUAGGCGAAGCUAUACGUACUAGUUUUCUUGGUUUUGGGAAGGUUAUGUAAGGUUUUGCACUAUUUUGUUGUGUGUGUUUCUUUGUCGGUUUCUCAAGUCUUUUUGGUUACUAUUUUCCUUUUUAUUAUUUUUAUUCUAUAUUAAAUUUUUAAUUCAUAAGAUUAAUAAAAACAACACCUUUUGAAAUCUACGAGUAGUUUUUAUAUAACCAAGCUUUACAAAUUUCAGGAAUAUUUUUUUGAUUCAUUAACAAUUUUUUGAAGUCAUGGUUGUUUUUUUAUUUCUAAAUAUUUUUCAAGUUCAUGAAUAUUUUUCAAAUUUGUGAUAUUUUUAAAAUUCUCAAAUACUUCAUAUUUUUUAUUCAAGUGUAUGUUGUAUAACUCAUGAAUAUUUUUCUAAAUCUGUUAUUUUUUCCUAAAUUUGUAAACAUUUUUCUAAAUUCACAAAAAACAAAUUCAUCAAAAUGAAUAUGAAGAUAAACAAUACCAAGUCAAUAUCCUUAUAUCCAUCAUUAGAUAUAUUUUCAUAAUCUAUUCAUUCAAUAUUAUAGUUGUUGAUAUUUUCUUCUAUAUAUUUGGUCAAAUUUAGAGAGAGUUGGCUUUUUGACUGAAAUUUCUACAACAUCUAUUUGGGGACAAAGGGAGUAGUGAAUAGUGUUUGUACUGUAAAGGAUUUGCAGUCCGUGAGUCAAGUUACUCUGUGUUUUUUAACAUAGUACAGACGCAAGCGCUCAUACCUACGCGCAUACACUCAUCCCUAUGAACGCACACAUGCACACCCUACCCAUAUGAGCACCUUCGAGAGACUGAGCGGCAUAUCAUCUUGAUAUUUACGAAGUCACUAUAGACUCGUCGUCGUCGACGGGAACGUCUCUUCUCACUGAAAGCGCAUCGCCGGAAAUCCUGAAAUAAAUUCAGGAAUAAUGCGAGCACCAGGACUUGAACCCUGGUGGGCUGGGGAUACCACUGCCUGUCUAACCAUCGAACCAUAUGGGGUGUGGAUGCACCUAUGAGUCAUGGACGGCGGGAAUCUAAUUUCGCUAGAAAACCCUCACUCUGCAGUAAUGGGCCAACCGAUUCCCAAAUAGGUCAACCUUUUAAACUGCCUGCUGAAUCCAUGAGCAGGCAAGAGACAACCUGGCGAACUGAAACAUCUUAGUAGGCAGAGGAAAAGAAAGCAAAAGCGAUUCCUGUAGUAGCGGCGAGCGAAAUGGGAGCAGCCUAAACCGUGAAAACGGGGUUGUGGGAGAGCAAUACAAGCGUUGCGCUGCUAGGCGAAGC